UUUACAAACUUGGGGAUGAGUUAUAAUAAUUUUACAGUAAAUGAAAGCAUGUCACAGCUUAUCCUCUCUAUUGAACCAACAUUCCUGCAAAUGCACGUGUAACUUGUUUGAGGCUAUUUGCUUUAAAUUAAAAAAAAAACAUUGGUCAAUGAGUGUUUUCUUCUAUCAGAGCAUCCCUUCUCUUUUUCCCUUGCUAUUUCUCAAACACACAGUAAUACAGCACCGUUUUCCUUAUUUCCUUAUUUUCCUUAUCUUUGUUCUCCCGUGAGUCCAGUAGAUUGCGCUCUUUCAUAUUGAAAUGUAGGACAGGUGAGCUCCGUAAGCUUUGAUGUUUUGCUGUUAGGCUGUUCACUGGUCAUUCUCAGUUAAACUGUUGCAGCAAAGAGCUUGCGCAUGUGUUUUGUUCCUUUGUGUUUCUAACUAAAAUAUAUAUAAUCCCCACUUGAAAUGCUCUAUUUGUUGGAAAUAGAGGUCAAGAGUAGAGAGUCAGUUGUUCUCUCGGUUACUUUCAAACUGCUGCAUGAUGUAAACUUGCAUCGGAUCAUUUGUAGCCUUCUCAUCUUUCAUCUGCAUCGCUCAUGUGCAUUUGGCCUUGUUCUGACGUUCAGAGGUGUGUAUGUAUCGGGCUGGCUGUGUGUUUUUAAUUGUAUGCCAGUCCGCAUUGCCAUCAGCCCUCAGGAAGGGUCAGUGACAGCUCAUUCCUAACAAGUGACAUCAACAAACUGCUGCAGCCAAUCCUAUGCAAGAGCCCUCGUGCGUGAGCCCUCAAACUAGUGUCAGAAUAAGCAAAGCUCUCUCACUUCCACAGCAAUCAUAACAGUUCCCGAGACAAGAAUGGAAAGACAGGAAGGACAAUAUCCGCCCUUCCUUAGCUGUUCCAAGGAAGUGUGGCGAGGGCACAAGAAACCUUUAAUAGGUCAUUAUGCCAAGUAUUGAAGCUUUUUUCCUUUUUUUUUGUUUAGAUAUU